rnacentral:rRNA from 1 species
AUGUCUUUACGUUAUUUUUGCGCGGUAUGUAGGAUACCUUAUGAGGGAGAAUUAGAGGAACCCCAUCGUGAAGAUGUGGAUGGUUUCGUUAAAACUAUUGUUGUAGAAGAGCCAAAGAAGGGCUCUGAGGCAAAAGUCUCUAGCAUACACUUUCCUGUUUUAUGCUACUUUGCCAUAUUUGCUAGUAGAUGCUUGAUUGGUCAUGGAAAUAGUGGAAAUUUGAGCGUUCCAGAUAUUCUUCUUCUUCAACAUGCUUUGUUGGGAGACAGCACUUUUAGUAUGGGUGCCGUCAUUGCUAAACGGCUAGCCCUGAAUCGUACAAAAGUCCCCAUAUUUGGAGGUAUCUAUGCUGCACGUCUUGCUGAACAUUUUCAGAUACCCAUUAGGCACCAUGAGGAGGAGGAGACAAAAUUACCUCCUCACAUUUUAGAUUACAAGAGCAUGGUAGCACACAAGUUUAUUGUUGACAACGAAGAGAAGAUGCUCUUGUAUAGACUUAGAUUCAAUAAGAAACACUUUGAGUUCAUUAUUUUGCCUGCACCUCUGUUAUUUGAUUUGCUUGCACAGAGUCGUCUUGUCACGCCAGAGGCGGUGAACAACCAUCUAGCCCAAGCUUUUACUCCAGAACCUGAACCUGAGCCAGAACCUGAAUUGGACCCUUGUCGUGCAUCAUCUGUCCAGUGGGAUCUGGAGAUGAUCAGCCAGUGGUAUCCUGAUUACACCUCCCACUACACCGGGGAGAGUAGCGGUGGUCCUUGGUAUUAUACCAACUUAGGCCAAAAGCCUAAGCUUGAGGGAGUACAUAUUUCUCACCGACUUUACAUUCAUGUUCACACACUAGUCGUCGGUGCUCAUACUCUUUCAUUGUAUUAUCCAUGUUAG